CCUACGGGUGGCUGCAGUGGGGAAUAUUGGACAAUGGGGGCAACCCUGAUCCAGCCAUGCCGCGUGAGUGAUGAAGGCCUUCGGGUUGUAAAGCUCUUUUGGCGGGGACGAUGAUGACGGUACCCGCAGAAUAAGCCCCGGCUAACUUCGUGCCAGCAGCCGCGGUAAGACGAAGGGGGCUAGCGUUGUUCGGAAUUACUGGGCGUAAAGCGCGUGUAGGCGGUUGUUCAAGUCGGGUGUGAAAGCCUUGAGCUCAACUCAAGAAAUGCACUCGGUACUGGAUGACUAGAGGACCGGAGAGGAUAGUGGAAUUCCCAGUGUAGUGGUGAAAUACGUAGAGAUUGGGAAGAACACCAGUGGCGAAGGCGGCUAUCUGGACGGUUUCUGACGCUAAGACGCGAAAGCGUGGGGAGCAAACAGGAUUAGAUACCCUGGUAGUC
rnacentral:rRNA from 1 species